rnacentral:rRNA from 1 species
AUGGACUCUAUUCUUGCAGUCAAACUGAUCCAAUCGAGGGAUUUGGACAAAUCUAUUUAUGCUUGGAUAGUUAAGGUGAUCAAGUAUGUUUUGGGGAUUCGUGGUUCUUGUAUUGCUCAUGUAAAUCGCUCUCAAAAUAAAGUUAGCAACUGCUUAGCUAGAUUUGCUAAAUUAGAAGGACGGACCAUGACUUGGGUUGGUUCUGGUCCAGAUGUUGUUGUUGAGGUAGCUGUCGGUCAAUCGCUCCUCAACCCCAACCCCAAGCCAAGCGCUGCUCGCCGCCGCCCACCUCUCCUGCUUCCGACGAGCAUCCACGGCCGGCCCUCCGAUGGAGGCGCCACCGGACUGGCCCUCCGCCCGGCCCCGUGGUGCCCGUGGACGACACGACCCCACGCUCCUCUUGGCCGACGCCGGGAUGAACCAGUUCAAGCCGGUCUUCCUCGGCACCGCCGCCCCGGACUCGCCUGCAACACCCAGAAGUGCAUCCGCGCCGUCGGCAAGCACAACGACCUCGACGACGUCGGCAAGGACACCUACCACCACACCUUCUUCGAGAUGCUCGGCAACUGGUCCUUCGGGGACUACUUUUUCUUUGCGGGGGGAGGGGACUACUUCAAGGACGGGGCCAUCAAUCAGUCUACAAAUUGCCCACUGAUAGGAUUUAUGCAACAUACUUUGGUGGUGAUGACAAGGCUGGUCUCGCUCCCGAUACCGAGUCAAAAGACAUAUGCAUGGUUCAAGUAUCUAGCGAAUGAAAGAGUUCUGCCUUUCGGUUGCAAGGAUAACUUUUGGGAGAUGGGCGUGGCGACACAGGUUAACAUGCCAGUUACUCUGUUUCAUUUCAACAGGGAGUCAGACGCUACUUUGAGAUCCUUGCCAGCAAAACACGUUGACACCGGAAUGGGCUUUGAGCGUUUAACUUCUAUCCUUCAGAAUAAAAUGAGCAAUUACGACAUAGAUGUAUUCAUGCCAUUAUUCGAUGCCAUCCACAAGCUGGCAGGCGCUGGAAUUCAACCAUACUCUGGUAAAGUAGGAUCCGAUGAUGUUGGGAAAGUUGAUAUGGCGCAUAUACGGUUGUUGCACAUCACAUAA